GUAUUCAGUAUUUUUCUACUAGGACACAGUUGACAGCCCAUAAAAGUCUCUGCUUAAGUAAGAAGUCCGUUUCUGUGAACCAUCAUCCGGACACAUGCAACACCAGACAGUGUGUCUCACAUCCAAGUUUAUUGACAGGGUAGAUUUCCCAUAAGGAUAGAAACACGAGCAAAGGAACCAGGAGGCACCUUCUCCCUCGGAUUGCUGCACAGCAUCUCCCUUUUAAUGACAAAAGCAAACAGAGGUGGGAAGCGGCUAUCUUCUCCAAAGUCUAACUGCUCAGCCUUCAAAUUAGUGUCAACAAGAAAGGAAUAGAUUAGCCGAAGGUCGCAGCACACACGCCUUCCCUUUUUCUUAGUAAGACUGUUUUGCUCCGUCCCACCCUGGCUAAUCCCUCUCUUCCCACUACUGGAAACUCAGAUAUUAACCAAAGCUGUGAGUCUCUUUGCCUAGUGCUUUUCUGCUAAAGCUUGGCUGAGAGAUGAAUCCAUGGAAUGUAAGUGACCUACUGGCUCAGUUAAUGACGCCUGGCCUCCCUUCCGGGGCAAUAACUUCCCUCCAGUCACUUAGCUCUGCUUGUCUCAGCUGGAGUCCACCAACAGGCUGGAUACCCACUCCCUCCCCAGGAGCGGAGAACCGUCAACAUCUCAGGCAAGGGAGGGAAAGAGGUCAGUGAAUCACAGGUGCUGAUGGGCGUCUCUGUGGCUCCAACUCUACUCAGCAGAAGGUGAGGACAGUUUUGCCGUCUUCGGUCCUGUGAGUGUCAGAGAUUGAGCAGAAGUUUCAGAGGCUUUACUCUCUGUUCCCCCCAAGAUUCCUCUGCUGACGUUCUGCAACCAGGCAGCCCACUCUGCCACACCACUUCUCUAAGUCUGAUUCUCUGAAUCUGGAAGUUCCAGGAAACCAGAGGCCGGGUCUAACGAUGGUACUCUGUGCACCCAGCCAAACCGUUUCUCCAGAGACCUUGGUUCUUGGUAACAAUGUCUCUUCUUGGCUCGAUUAUUUAGCGAGAAGCUGGGGCUGGAUAAGAUGGGUUCCACGGCUCACUGGGGUUGGCCAUUAAAGUGUCUGGAACACUCCUGGUUGUACUCAGAUCCCCCGUGAGCUCCAUGCUUGUGCUCUGGUUGUUAUCUGGCCCUUGUGGUGUCUUCUUCCGCAGGCAGCGGUUGAUCAGGGUGGAGAAGAAGUUGGGAAAAGAUGGGCUGGAGAAGUAGUACACCAAAGGGUCCAGCAUGCUGUUCAUGUAGGUGAAGCUGAGGGUGAUGAAAAACGCCAGGUCAACCGAGCGAUAGACGUCACAGUUCUUCGUACCCGUGGUGUGCAAGAGCCAGAAAAUG
rnacentral:lncRNA from 1 species